GGAGCGGGCUGCGCGGCCGCGCGCGGACUUGCGCCGCGGGAGGAAAGUCCGGGCUCCGCAGGGCAGGGUGGUGGAUAACGUCCACCGGGGGCGACCCCAGGGAAAGUGCCACAGAAAACAGACCGCCCCGGAUCUCGGUUCGGAGCAAGGGUGAAAAGGUGCGGUAAGAGCGCACCAGCGGUCCGGGUGACCGGACCGGCUUGGUAAACCCCACCCGGAGCAAGGCCAAGUAAGGAGACGCUCGAGGGCGGCCCGCCCGAUGUCUCCGGGUCGGCUGCAUGAGGCGGAGGGCAACCUUCGUCCCAGAUGGAUGGUCGCGGACCCGCCCCCGGGCGGGUAACAGAACCCGGCUUACAGGCUCGCUCCGGUU
rnacentral:RNase_P_RNA from 1 species